rnacentral:misc_RNA from 1 species
AAAGAUAAUGAGACCACAGCAGGUUCAUUCUAACUAUUGCUUGAAUUUUUUUGGGUUUCUUCUUGAUGUAUUUUGUUUGAUUAUUGUUUAUAAUUCAGUUUUGUUAUAAACAUGAACCUUUCUCUAAAAUCUGCAAUUGAUGCCAUGUCACAUGGCAGACCAACUAGGUUUUGUUAAGCAAGAACCUGUGUGGUUAAUCUUUACAAGUAAACCAAUAUGAUAACUGUACUGUUAUAGUUGACGUUGGUUAUGUGCUCUGGUGAAAAUUUUGAACCAAAUUCUGAUCUGGGUCCAUGGCCUCUUUUAGAGAGGCUGGAGUUGAAUCAAUCUGAUUCUAACAUCCUUUUAAGUUCCCCUUGAUAAGUUAAUAGCAAAUGUUAGAGAAGUAAUACCUAUGAUCAAGGACUUAUUUUAGGGUGUAAAAGACAUGCCACAGUUAAAGUGACACUGUUUAGGGUUGUACAUUCCUUUUCCAAAAUUUUUGCUCUCAAAAAAUUCUUGUCAGUGGCAAUAGACUACAAUUUGCUUUAUGUGUGAUUGUGAUAUUUAGAAAUCUAGUAAUUGUGAAUGCUGUUAACUGUGAUAAAAAGCUAAAAUCAUACUAUCGGAACCUCACCCAAUUCUCAUAGAGACUGGUUAAUUUUGUUCAUUCAGACAAUCAUUUGUUUGGGAUUGGUUUCAAAUAGAAUUGAAUGGUGAAAAAUGAUCUAUAUAGUUGAGCUCAACUAGUUUGGAUUAAGAUUUAGUUGUUAUUGAUGUAGACAAUUUUUUUAAUUGAAUCUCAGUGCUAGUUGCAUAUAUUUGAUGUUAUCUAAUGUCUCAAGAGAAGUUGUGUCGUACAGUCACUGUCAAGAUCGUUGCACUAUUGGUAGGUUUCAUGGAAAAGAAAACAAAAAUCUGGAGGAUUUGAGUGGAAGAAGUGUAUUGGGGUUUCAUUUAUUCACAAAGUUGACAGUAAGGACUAGGGUUGUAACAAUUACAGGACAUACACGGUGCAGAUCUAGGAGGCAUAAUGUAUAGAUCUAUAAAAUUAUGGGACAUAAAAAAAUGGAAGUGAUGGCUUGGUACCUAUUCAAGAAGUUAAUUGGGGAUUGUCUACAACUGCUUUUUGACAGCUACUAUUACUAUUGUUGUUGCUGUUACUUCUUCCAUAUCUGAAUCUAUAACAUAUAUAGAUACAUUUCUAUACUUAUUUCUAGGAGUGAGCAUUCGGUUAACCAAACCAAAUCAAACCAAACCAAAUUGAACCAAAUUUCUAACUAACCUAUAAAAUAAUUAUCAAUGAUAUAUAUUCAUUAAUUAAUAAAAUUUGGUUAUUUUGGUUACUAUGUCAAAGAUAACUAAAACUAUAACCGAUAACUAACUGAAAUUUUCAAGAAUUGGUAAUCAAAAACUCUAUUUAUGACUAAAUACUUGCAUGCUUUGUUCUUAUAUAGAAUUUUAGGCUCAUCCAGUGGUUGUAGGCUUUCUUUUUUCAUCAUCAAACUGGACAUGAAUGCUGGAAAGAAUUGUGUUAGGAAGAAAUUUUGCAGCAAUUUGUUAUGUUUGUGAAUGUUGUCUGUGGUUAUAUAGGUCUACACUGGGGCAUGGCUUC